rnacentral:tRNA from 1 species
GGGUGUUUAGCUCAGUGGCAUGAGUGCCUGCCUUGCAAGCAUGUGUUUGUGAGUUCGAUUCCCAGUACCAA